AGUCUUAUAUUCAAUUAUGAUAUUAAAUUGCAAAUUUAAUGGAGAAGUUUAAACUUUUAAGGCUU
rnacentral:tRNA from 1 species